UGGUGUUUGAACAACUGUAUGCUACUAUCCCUGUAUAGAUGGGAUAUGAUUUCUAUCUUUGUUGUCGGUCGGGCUCAGGUUAAACUCUUUGUGAAACGUGAAACAACGAUCGCCCAAGAACUUUCUGUUUUUAAUCCAGUUUGACAGUUUUCUCAGUUACAACA